rnacentral:rRNA from 1 species
GUGUCAGCCGCCGCGGUAAUACGUAGGUGGCAAGCGUUGUCCGGAUUUAUUGGGCGUAAAGCGAGCGCAGGCGGUUUCUUAAGUCUGAUGUGAAAGCCCCCGGCUCAACCGGGGAGGGUCAUUGGAAACUGGGAGACUUGAGUGCAGAAGAGGAGAGUGGAAUUCCAUGUGUAGCGGUGAAAUGCGUAGGUAUAUGGAGGAACACCAGUGGCGAAGGCGGCUCUCUGGUCUGUAACUGACGCUGAGGCUCGAAAGCGUGGGGAGCAAACAGGAUUAGAUACCCUCGUAGUCC